CAGAGUAGUAUCUCUACUACUACAUUCAUUAUACAUAUUUAAUUUUUCAAACAAGGCAGUCUUCCGAGCAUCACCUCACUCAAGUACGCUAAUACCGUACGCUCUAUCAUAUUUUCAAACAUUUAUACUACUCACAUCAAUUUAAUGUAUUUUUUGUACGCAUAUUAUUAAACAAUCAUUUAUAAGCUACUAUUUUUUCCCUCACUCCUCAGUUGGUUUUAUACUUACAACAAGAUUAGUUAGUGUUAGUGAGAAAAAAGAGUGUUUGUUACAUUAAAACAUCAUUACUAUAAAUAGCAUAUAUAGAAUCAAUAUUAGUGUUUUGAGCAAACUUUGUACCAUAAAAUAGUGAAUAAAAUGCCUCCAGCGCCACCUGUUACCACAAUAAAGCGAUCAUACUUCCGUAUUUUAAGCUGCCCAUUAGAACAACAAAAAGCAGGUUUUUAUCAUUCUGGUGGUGGAAAUGCUUGCACGCCAGAAAACCACAAUCAAGAUUUCCAAUGACCUCAGGAUUAGCUGGAUGGGCUUGUACAGCAUUAAAAAGCGAUUUGAAACCGAAGGAACUGUCUCCGUAAAGCCUGUUAUGGUCAGAAAUGGACAGUAAGACCCGGAUUAUGCCUACCCAAAACCGCCAUUCUAGAAAUUCA
rnacentral:lncRNA from 1 species